rnacentral:misc_RNA from 1 species
UAAUAAGUGUUUUAUGGGCACUUUUUUAAAUCCAUAUCCACCUUGUGUGCAAUGUCAGUCGAUCUUCUUCAUGGAGAUCGACCAAACAUCAACCUUUAUUUUUUAUAACUCUUUGUAUGAAAAAUAUUAUACAUAAACAAUUCAAAAUA